rnacentral:tRNA from 1 species
GCCCCCAUCGUCUAAUAGGCCAGGACACUUCCCUUUAACGGAAGAAAAGGGUGAUUCGAAUUCCCCUGGGGGUA